rnacentral:rRNA from 1 species
GAUGAACGCUGGCGGCGUGCCUAACACAUGCAAGUCGAACGGGUGUACGGGAAGGAAGAUUUCGGUCGGAAGCCCCGUGCAUGAGUGGCGGACGGGUGAGUAACGCGUGGGCAACCUGCCCUGUACAGGGGGACAACACUUAGAAAUAGGUGCUAAUACCGCAUAACGGGGGGAGCCGCAUGGCACCCCCCUGAAAACUCCGGUGGUACAGGAUGGGCCCGCGUCUGAUUAGCUGGUUGGCAGGGUAACGGCCUACCAAGGCGACGAUCAGUAGCCGGCCUGAGAGGGCGGACGGCCACACUGGGACUGAGACACGGCCCAG